GGGCGAUUAGCUCAGAUGGUUUAGAGUGUCACGUUGACAUCGUGAAGGUCACUGGUUCGAGCCCAGUAUCGCCCACCA
rnacentral:tRNA from 1 species